ACUAGUUGGAUUCACUUCUGCUGCGCCGCAGCAGGAAAUCCACUAGGUUGUAUUCUUAACCCACUGAGACAUAACAGGAACUCUGGUUAAGAGGAAACUGAGGAGCAGAGAAGGGAGGAAACACGGUUGAGUGCGGGUACCAGCUUAAGGCUGUGUGGGCUGACUGUUCUCUUUGGUCCCCAGGCUGGGCUACAGGACUAAGAAGGAGUUCAGCAAUCAAGGGGGAGCAGAAGCGAAUGCAGACACCACCCACAUGCCUGCCUUCUGGUCUAGGCACCAUCACCUGUCCCCGUCCUGCUGGAGACUUCCUGGAACUCAGGUCCUACCCUUUGCUAUUUUUCUUAGCUUCCCCAUCACAACUCUGAUCUUUUCCCUGGGGUCCUGUCCACACUCCUCUUUUCACCGUCCAGACCCCUCCCUGGCUAAGUCUCCAGCCCUUCCUCCGUCUAAAGCCCCAGCCCCCAGCACUGGCCUCUCACCCGUCGGGCGCGCCCCCUGGUGGCGGCGAGGGCGGUGGCGGUGCGCGCAGCAGCAGCGGCCCGAAGGUGGCACUCAGAGCUCGCACCGCGGGGCCCGGGGCUGGGGCGCGUCGGGCCACCCGGCCCAGGUGCUGGAGCAGGAAGCGCAGCGUGAGCGCACGGUGCAGCGGCAGUGUCGGGGGCUCCAGCGCCGGCCCCACGGGCCCUGCGGCCUCUGCGGAAGAUGGCCAGGGCAGGGUGAGCCGAGGCCAGUGCCCGCUCCAGUGCCCUCCCCAGUCUGGGCUUCCUGCCAGGCUCACCCCGGAGGGCCCGGUGUGCUUCGGCCGCGGCCUCGGGUGUCACGAGGGGAGCGGGUAGCGCCAGCAGGAAGCCCUUCACGCCAUCUGACAGGGCUGCAGCAUCCCACUGCUCCACAUCGCUCAGGGACCAGUCUGCAGGUGCAAGGGGGAUACAUGGGUCCAAGGCACAUCGUCUAGGGCAGGUUCCUCUCCCUCUCUUACCCACUGAAGAUUCCCCUCACCUGUGCGGGCAGCGGGUGGCUCAGGCCUGUAGCUGUCUAGCCCUGGGAGGAAAGGGGAUGGGGUGGGUAAGUCAGCUUCACCCCAUGUGGCAAGACCAGCUCUCAAAUGCUGCCCCAACCCCAUGUGGGGUCUGGGGUGGCUCCUCAACCUCCCAGAGAUAAAAGCAGGAGGGGAGGAAGAUGGUGGCAGAGGACACAGCGCAUGCAAUGAUGAGUCCAGUGUCCACAUUCCCCUGGAAGUUACUCCUUCUCCAAGUUAACAUGGAGCCCCGGAGCAUCCUGACUCAGCAUCUUCCAUACAGGGCCCAGCAGCCCUGUGAAGGGGAUGAGGUGCCCAUCACCAGAGGGCCCUAAAUCCAAGGACUGGUGUCUUCUUAAGAGAAGGCCAUAUGAAGACAAAAGCAGAGACGGGGGCGAUGUGGCCACAAGCCAAGGUAUGCCUGGAGCCCCCAGAAGCUGGAAGAAGAAAGAAAAGAUCUUCCCCGAAAGCCUCCAGAGGGAGGGCAGCUCUGCCCACACCUUGAUUUUGGACUUCUGGCCUCCAGAACCGUGAGAGAAUAAACUAUGGUUUGAAGCUACCCAUUUGUGGUAGUUAGUUACAGCAGCCACAGGACACUCACACAACAGGUUCAGGGGUCUGCCGUUGUUUUGCUGUGCAACCCCAGGCACAAGACUUGCCCUCUCUGUAUCUCAGUUUCCUCUGAGGUAUCAUCUCUCCCUUCUUAGUGGGAACAACAGAGUGGUUGAAAAGAAUAAAAGAAAAAUGGAGUUCCCAUUGUGGCUCAGGGGUUAGUGAACCCGACUAGCAUCCAUGAGGAUGCGAGUUCGAUCCCUGGCCCCGCUCAGUGGGUUA